rnacentral:ncRNA from 1 species
ACCUUAUCAAGAGAGGUGGAGGGAAGGGCCCUUUGAAACCUCGGCAGCGGACGAUUAACUGUGCCAAAUCCCUCAGGGUAACAGCCUGGAAGAUGAGGA